ACGCACGCUGGCGGCGUGCUUAACCCCUGCCAGUCGCACGGAAAGGCCCUGCUUUUGUGGGGUGCUCGAGUGGCGAACGGGUGAGUAACACGUGAGUAACCUGCCCUUGACUUUGGGAUAACUUCAGGAAACUGGGGCUAAUACCGGAUAGGAGCUCCUGCUGCAUGGUGGGGGUUGGAAAGUUUCGGCGGUUGGGGAUGGACUCGCGGCUUAUCAGCUUGUUGGUGGGGUAGUGGCUUACCAAGGCUUUGACGGGUAGCCGGCCUGAGAGGGUGACCGGCCACAUUGGGACUGAGAUACGGUCCAGACUCCUACGGGAGGCAGCAGUGGGGAAUAUUACACAAUGGGCGGAAGCCUGAUGCAGCAACGCCGCGUGCGGGAUGACGGCCUUCGGGUUGUAAACCGCUUUCGCCUGUGACGAAGCGUGAGUGACGGUAAUGGGUAAAGAAGCACCGGCUAACUACGUG
rnacentral:rRNA from 1 species